rnacentral:tRNA from 1 species
GCCGGGUUGGCGGAAUGGUAGACGCGGCGCACUCAAAAUGCGCUGUCCGCGAGGGCGUGCGGGUUCGAGUCCCGCACCCGGCACCU